rnacentral:rRNA from 1 species
UACAGAGGGGGCAAGCGUUAUUCGGAAUUAUUGGGCGUAAAGGGCGCGUAGGCGGCCAUUCAAGUGACGGGUGAAAGCCCUCGGCUUAACCGAGGAACUGCCUGUCAGACUGGAUGGCUUGAGACCGGGAGAGGUGAGUGGAAUUCCCAGUGUAGCGGUGAAAUGCGUAGAUAUUGGGAGGAACACCAGUGGCGAAGGCGGCUCACUGGACCGGAACUGACGCUGAGGCG